GAUGAAGAACGCAGCGAAAUGCGAUAAGUAAUAUGAAUUGCAGAAUUCAGUGAAUCAUCGAAUCUUUGAACGCACAUUGCGCCCCUUGGUAUUCCGAGGGGCAUGCCUGUUCGAGCGUCAUUAUAACCCCUCAAGCUCAGCUUGGUGUUGGGGCCUGCCGCACGGGCAGCCCUUAAAAUCAGUGGCGGUGCCAUCUGGCUCUAAGCGUAGUAAUUCUUCUCGCUAUAGAGUCCCGGUGGAUGCUUGCCAUUAACCCCCAAUUUUCUAUGGUUGACCUCGGAUCAGGUAGGGAUACCCGCUAAACUUAAGCAUAUCAAUAAGCGGAGGA
rnacentral:misc_RNA from 1 species